AUGAUAAGUGCGGGGCCAAGUCACGUGCUGAACAUUAAUUGCACUUCCUCCGCUGCCUGCCCACAGCAAUGGGAACCCACUGGGACAUGGCACAGCGUGACCAUGAGGAACAGUGGGCAUGUAGAUGACCCCACUGCUCUGGUCCACAGUACCCAGGGAGCAUCAUCGCUCCCAGCAGAAGGGAAGCACAGCCGGGAGAAACAGAAAGGAAAACAUCUGGAAGCAAAAGCCCGCAGGCAAUGUCGUCAUGGCUUGGAAAAUCUAUUAGCGUGCAUAGAUCUCCCACGUGCGCACCUAAGGUGUAGGUACACACGCACACUGGGCUCUACACGCAACUCGUUGCAACACAACGUCGACUUUUCCUCACGGAGUUUUCUCGGGGCGCUCCGGCCCAAUGCGGCGGUCACGCUCACGGCCGCGGGUGGGGGCGACAAGGGGCACGGGGCCGCCAACGGGAGGAAACCGCGGCUCCCCGAGGCCGCCGCUCCCAUAGCACAGCGCGGAGCCCUCGGCGGACACGGGACGGGAGGCGCCGCAACCGCUCCCAUGGGAAACACGAGGGGAAAAUGGCGGGGGGGGCACCCACGCGGGAGCAGAGGCCGCCGCCCGCCCAGGUACCGCGGGCCGGGGGCAUCGGAGCGGAGCUCUCCGCCGGGACCGUGCCUCGGGGCUGCCUUACCUCGCGGAGAAGCCGGGCCGGGAAGCGGCCGUUCGCAGCCGGGCGGCGGCGCUUCCACGCAGCUGCUUGUCACCUCUCCCGCCGCGGCGGCGGCUGCGGGCGGAGGGGCGGGACAGCACGGCCCGCUCCGCCCCGGCCCGCCCCGCUCCGCACCGCCCUCAGCCCCAGCGCUUCCUCCCCCGGGCAGCGCUGCUGGGUUGGAGCUGGGGCGGGCAGGGCCCUCUGUGUCCCAGUGUCCCUGUGUCCCAGCCCCUGCUCCAGCAGCAGCACCCAGAGCAGGGUGCCCAGGCCCAUGGCCAGGCGGCUCCUGUAGAGCUGCAGGGAGGAGAGCCCACAGCCUCUGGGCAGCCUGUGCCAGUGCUCCGGCACCGCACAGCGCAGCGCUGCUCCUGGUGUGCAGGGGGAGCCUCCUGGGAUACAGUCUGUGCCCACGGCCUCCUGUCCUAGCACUGGGCAUCGCUUAA
rnacentral:lncRNA from 1 species